UCGGGAGUCGUCCAGCGGCCAGGACAACUGACUCUGGAUCAGUAAACGGAGGUUCGAGUCCUCCCUCCCGAGCCA
rnacentral:tRNA from 1 species